rnacentral:lncRNA from 1 species
UGUAACACACUUUAUUUCUAAUGUAGCAAAAAUCCUGCAAUCUGAUUGGUUAAUUACCCCGGUGUAAAUAACACCCCACCCUUGUUCACCCCGGGAUAAAUAAAAUUUUGCCAAAAAUUCCAAAAAAUUAAAUUUUGCCAAAAUAAAGAAAAAAAAAUAAUAUGUAAAAAAAAAUAAAAAAAAAUAAAAUGUAAAAAAAAAACAAAAAAAAUAUAAAAAAUAAAUAAAUUUGAGGACAAAAUUUUUUUUUAAUUUUUUU